rnacentral:rRNA from 1 species
GACGAACGCUGGCGGCGUGCUUAACACAUGCAAGUCGAACGGAAAGGCCCUGCUUUUGUGGGGUGCUCGAGUGGCGAACGGGUGAGUAACACGUGAGUAACCUGCCCUUGACUUUGGGAUAACUUCAGGAAACUGGGGCUAAUACCGGAUAGGAGCUCCUGCUGCAUGGUGGGGGUUGGAAAGUUUCGGCGGUUGGGGAUGGACUCGCGGCUUAUCAGCUUGUUGGUGGGGUAGUGGCUUACCAAGGCUUUGACGGGUAGCCGGCCUGAGAGGGUGACCGGCCACAUUGGGACUGAGAUACGGCCCAGACUCCUACGGGAGGCAGCAGUGGGGAAUAAUGCACAAUGGGCGGAAGCCUGAUGCAGCAACGCCGCGUGCGGGAUGAUGGCCUUCGGGUUGUAAACCGCUUUCGCCUGUGACGAAGCGUGAGUGACGGUAAUGGGUAAAGAAGCACCGGCUAACUACGUG